rnacentral:lncRNA from 1 species
GAAUGAGCACCUGCAAAGGAAAGUCCACACUGACUGGAGAUGCCUCCGGUGGGGACCCUCCGACGGUCAAGUCAGAGAGGAGACUAGGCAACAGUAGAGAGGAAUCGGGGGACUCAGCGAUGGAGAGAGGAAGAGAGAAAGAGAGAAAGGAACCCCCCCUUAAGCUGCUUCCUUACCUCGUUUUAUAGUAGGAGGUGGUAUGGUCCCGCCGUCGGUGAUGUUGACAACUGAAGAGUUGUCAAAUCGUCGGGGGUUGUCAUGUCGUUGAUGAGCUGACAGAUCCUAGGAAUUAAUUCGCAUCCUUGGCAGGACAGCGCCCCAGGUU